UCGCAAUUCUCAGCUCCGUUCAGGCGUUUACUUUAAUGGCUUCCUUCACAGAUUCCUCUUUGUGUACACAGCUGCUGAGAAAUAUGCUCCUAUUCUAAUUUCUUCCAUUAAAUGUAUUGUCCAUAAACAAGACAUUGCCUCCUUGGGGAUUUUCCAGGAAAGUAAUAAUCAAGAGAAAUUCCAAAGAGGAAUUACAGUCCACCAUUAUGACUUACAGACAGGUUUGUGUUGACUUUUUGCAUGUAACGUGCGUCUUUUGAAUGGAUGAUGUGGCAUAUUCAUAAACAUAUCCUAGCAGUGGGACAGACUGAGGUGGUGUGAUUCAUUUCAAGGCUGAUAUGAGCUUGUGGAAGAUGCAUCAGUGAGACAGAAAUGAGAAGAAAGGAGGCAAAUUAGCACUCUAUCCAUCCUGAGGAAAUAAAAGAGAAGGAGGCCUGGGAGAGUCAUCUCAGCAGCAAGACAGCUGGAGGAAUAGACCCAUCCAUACUUGACGAUGAGGUGGAGCGUACUUCCGUGUUGGAUCGUCACAUUGAUUCCAUUAAUCAGCUCCAGUAUCUACCUAAAAUAGGAAUGCAAACGACAACCACUCAUUCCAUAUGAGCAGCUGCUGGCAACAACAUCUACUUGCAGGAACGGGGGCCCUGGAUCUGUGUCGACCAGAGGCACCGCUGGGGAGAGCUUAUGUGAGUGAAGACUCAUCCCUGCUGUCCUAUCACUCAAUAGUAAGCUCGCCGUUCCUGUACAGAUGAACAG
ensembl:lncRNA